UGCCAAUCUCCUUGUGCCACACCCUUUUCCCUAUCUUUUCACACACACAUCUGAUUUCUCUUGAGGAGGCAUGCCACACCUCAAACCCAUGCCUUAUAUCCCUUUUUAGUAGGAGUUAGUUAGGGUUUCAAGAGUCCAAAGAUACUAGGACUCUUUGUAGCCCUCCCCACUCCUUGUGCACCCUUUUCUCCAUGCCAAAAAAAGAAUUCAUGUAACUCUCUCUUGGUGUGAAACAUAUGGGGCGUGAGGCUUAGGGAAGAGUCCUUCUAUUGGUCAAUCACCUUUUGAAGAUAGAGUCUAAGGUGGUUUGGAUUUCCAUUUAAAUCAAAAUCUGAUUGAGUCUAAACCUUUUAGACUUAUAAAAUCCAAUCUGAGUCAAACUCAGACCAAGUCCAAUCAAAUUAAAUUUGAUUUAAUUUGACUAGGAUCAACCCAAUUAUUUGAUCAAGUUAAAUAAUCUAGCAAUAGUUACAAUUAAGUUCUUCUAUAACUCAUUAAUUCUUAGCAAAUCCUUCAUGUAACUUUUACACAUUGGUCCAAUCAUUAAUCAAAUUGAUAAUUAAAUCUUAUUGUGAUUUCAAAUCAUAAUUCAACAAUCUGAUCAGUCAGGACCUCUUUUACGUGUGACCUUGUA
rnacentral:lncRNA from 1 species